GAGAAAGCAUCUGUGAAAACCAGGUUACCCUGAU
rnacentral:tRNA from 1 species